rnacentral:rRNA from 1 species
UUAAGCGACUAAGCGUACACGGUGGAUGCCCUGGCAGUCAGAGGCGAUGAAGGACGUGCUAAUCUGCGAUAAGCGUCGGUAAGGUGAUAUGAACCGUUAUAACCGGCGAUUUCCGAAUGGGGAAACCCAGUGUGAUUCGUCACACUAUCAUUAACUGAAUUCAUAGGUUAAUGAGGCGAACCGGGGGAACUGAAACAUCUAAGUACCCCGAGGAAAAGAAAUCAACCGAGAUUCCCCCAGUAGCGGCGAGCGAACGGGGAGGAGCCCAGAGCCUGAAUCAGUGUGUGUGUUAGUGGAAGCGUCUGGAAAGGCGCGCGAUACAGGGUGACAGCCCCGUACACAAAAAUGCACAUGCUGUGAGCUCGAUGAGUAGGGCGGGACACGUGGUAUCCUGUCUGAAUAUGGGGGGACCAUCCUCCAAGGCUAAAUACUCCUGACUGACCGAUAGUGAACCAGUACCGUGAGGGAAAGGCGAAAAGAACCCCGGCGAGGGGAGUGAAAAAGAACCUGAAACCGUGUACGUACAAGCAGUGGGAGCCUCUUAAUGGGGUGACUGCGUACCUUUUGUAUAAUGGGUCAGCGACUUAUAUUCUGUAGCAAGGUUAACCGAAUAGGGGAGCCGAAGGGAAACCGAGUCUUAACUGGGCGUUAAGUUGCAGGGUAUAGACCCGAAACCCGGUGAUCUAGCCAUGGGCAGGUUGAAGGUUGGGUAACACUAACUGGAGGACCGAACCGACUAAUGUUGAAAAAUUAGCGGAUGACUUGUGGCUGGGGGUGAAAGGCCAAUCAAACCGGGAGAUAGCUGGUUCUCCCCGAAAGCUAUUUAGGUAGCGCCUCGUGAAUUCAUCUCCGGGGGUAGAGCACUGUUUCGGCAAGGGGGUCAUCCCGACUUACCAACCCGAUGCAAACUGCGAAUACCGGAGAAUGUUAUCACGGGAGACACACGGCGGGUGCUAACGUCCGUCGUGAAGAGGGAAACAACCCAGACCGCCAGCUAAGGUCCCAAAGUCAUGGUUAAGUGGGAAACGAUGUGGGAAGGCCCAGACAGCCAGGAUGUUGGCUUAGAAGCAGCCAUCAUUUAAAGAAAGCGUAAUAGCUCACUGGUCGAGUCGGCCUGCGCGGAAGAUGUAACGGGGCUAAACCAUGCACCGAAGCUGCGGCAGCGACGCUUAUGCGUUGUUGGGUAGGGGAGCGUUCUGUAAGCCUGCGAAGGUGUACUGUGAGGUAUGCUGGAGGUAUCAGAAGUGCGAAUGCUGACAUAAGUAACGAUAAAGCGGGUGAAAAGCCCGCUCGCCGGAAGACCAAGGGUUCCUGUCCAACGUUAAUCGGGGCAGGGUGAGUCGACCCCUAAGGCGAGGCCGAAAGGCGUAGUCGAUGGGAAACAGGUUAAUAUUCCUGUACUUGGUGUUACUGCGAAGGGGGGACGGAGAAGGCUAUGUUGGCCGGGCGACGGUUGUCCCGGUUUAAGCGUGUAGGCUGGUUUUCCAGGCAAAUCCGGAAAAUCAAGGCUGAGGCGUGAUGACGAGGCACUACGGUGCUGAAGUAACAAAUGCCCUGCUUCCAGGAAAAGCCUCUAAGCAUCAGGUAACAUCAAAUCGUACCCCAAACCGACACAGGUGGUCAGGUAGAGAAUACCAAGGCGCUUGAGAGAACUCGGGUGAAGGAACUAGGCAAAAUGGUGCCGUAACUUCGGGAGAAGGCACGCUGAUAUGUAGGUGAAGCGACUUGCUCGUGGAGCUGAAAUCAGUCGAAGAUACCAGCUGGCUGCAACUGUUUAUUAAAAACACAGCACUGUGCAAACACGAAAGUGGACGUAUACGGUGUGACGCCUGCCCGGUGCCGGAAGGUUAAUUGAUGGGGUUAGCGGUAACGCGAAGCUCUUGAUCGAAGCCCCGGUAAACGGCGGCCGUAACUAUAACGGUCCUAAGGUAGCGAAAUUCCUUGUCGGGUAAGUUCCGACCUGCACGAAUGGCGUAAUGAUGGCCAGGCUGUCUCCACCCGAGACUCAGUGAAAUUGAACUCGCUGUGAAGAUGCAGUGUACCCGCGGCAAGACGGAAAGACCCCGUGAACCUUUACUAUAGCUUGACACUGAACAUUGAGCCUUGAUGUGUAGGAUAGGUGGGAGGCUUUGAAGUGUGGACGCCAGUCUGCAUGGAGCCGACCUUGAAAUACCACCCUUUAAUGUUUGAUGUUCUAACGUUGGCCCCUAAUCGGGGUUGCGGACAGUGUCUGGUGGGUAGUUUGACUGGGGCGGUCUCCUCCUAAAGAGUAACGGAGGAGCACGAAGGUUGGCUAAUCCUGGUCGGACAUCAGGAGGUUAGUGCAAUGGCAUAAGCCAGCUUGACUGCGAGCGUGACGGCGCGAGCAGGUGCGAAAGCAGGUCAUAGUGAUCCGGUGGUUCUGAAUGGAAGGGCCAUCGCUCAACGGAUAAAAGGUACUCCGGGGAUAACAGGCUGAUACCGCCCAAGAGUUCAUAUCGACGGCGGUGUUUGGCACCUCGAUGUCGGCUCAUCACAUCCUGGGGCUGAAGUAGGUCCCAAGGGUAUGGCUGUUCGCCAUUUAAAGUGGUACGCGAGCUGGGUUUAGAACGUCGUGAGACAGUUCGGUCCCUAUCUGCCGUGGGCGCUGGAGAACUGAGGGGGGCUGCUCCUAGUACGAGAGGACCGGAGUGGACGCAUCACUGGUGUUCGGGUUGUCAUGCCAAUGGCACUGCCCGGUAGCUAAAUGCGGAAGAGAUAAGUGCUGAAAGCAUCUAAGCACGAAACUUGCCCCGAGAUGAGUUCUCCCUGACCCUUUAAGGGUCCUGAAGGAACGUUGAAGACGACGACGUUGAUAGGCCGGGUGUGUAAGCGCAGCGAUGCGUUGAGCUAACCGGUACUAAUGAACCGUGAGGCUUAACCU